UUGACCUGCAUUCCUCUGCUGCUCUGGUUUGGAAACCUCUUAUUUGUGAGUGAAUGCCAUCUUUCUUUCAUACUUGUUACCAUCAAAAGAGUAUUUCCAACUCAGGACACAAGAAGGCACGUCAGGCAGGCCUCCUGUGCCAAAGCAGAGGAAUCAUUUGUGACCUCUGAGAAGAGUAAUUUUUGUCACAUGGAGUUCACGUACAUACAGGAACACUUCCAGUGACCAAACAUAGCUGGUAUGUACUGGAGAUUGGAAUCAGGACACAGAACAAUAACAAAAGCCCUGCAGCUGUCUCGAUGUCAUGUGUUUGGAUUGCACAAGUCAUCGAUAGCAUUCUUCUACUGCCAUCCUACAAAAAAGCCUUUUCAGUCAUUGAUAGCUGAAUGUGAUUGCCUCCCACCCCUUAUCAAGGGGCAUCAUGCCUCCAGACACACAUAAGCAUGAAUGCUCCCUGCACUCCUUGUUCUGGCUUUUGGGUGCCCAUAAGCACACACAUUAACUGGCAAAACACACCAUUGCACUGCACACCUUGUCCAGCAGAUCAGAUUUUACUACCAUGUUCACCACACAAACACCUCAUCAGUUACAUAUAAAUACCAUGACUGUAGAAUAGGCAAGUUGUUCAUGUGCUUUGACUGCUUAAAGGAAAAAAAGGAAGCUUUUGGAACAGGCAUGAAGCAGAGGCAUACAAAAACUGCAUAACAUUAAUCUGAAAAACAAAACAGAGCUUCAAGUUUCACUUUAGGCUUUUCACUGGCUUCUGGAGCCAUAUUAGUCACAUCUUUAUCAAAUGCUCUAAGGAAAAAAGUUGCUACAGAGAUAAAGAGUAUGUCACAGAUGUCUUUUUUUCCUUAAAGUAAAUAGUCAUUAAUAUACUGGAGAUGACUGAUUUACAAAGGCCUGUUCCCAAAAGUCACACCCAUGCACUGACUUGCUUUCUUCAAAUCAGUGUGAGAUGAAGUUAUUCAAAGCCUGUCCAGAAAAGCCUUAAGAAACAGCUGUAUUUUGCACUUUUAACUGCUCUUUAAGAAUUUACAGGCAGGACAGUGUUAGUAAAUAACCAGAUAAUAUUUCCGUGACAUACUCCAUUUCUAUCUUAUCGAAAGAGAAGCUAAUUUUAUGACUAAAGCUCAGUUUUCAGUGAAUACAGCUUUAGCACAGAUGCUUUGGUGCUGCUGAAAUCCACAGCAACUGCAUCCUUAGCUAUUAUCACCAUUAACUGAAUGGAUCUGUGGUUUGCCAAACCUAUACAGGCAAAAUGCAGGGCCUCCUUCCAGAUAAGUUCCUAGAUGUCAAAUAGAACACUCUCUCUGAAUCAGCACUUCUGGUUCUUUGAGUCAUUUACUGAAAUCUGCAAACUAGACAGUGGCAAUUUGCUCAGCUCCUCUGAGCAACUAAUGCUCACUCAAAAAUGAGCAGAGACAUAUGAAGUGAACAAGCAGCACAAGAGCCCUUCUGGAGAUAUUUUUUUUAGUGGGUGGAAGGUGGAGAUUUUCAUCCAAGAGGCUUUAGCUUGAAGAAUCAUCAUGAUUAUCUUAAAAAUGGUUUCUUGGAGCUCCAACCAGCAAAAGCUAAAACGUAAUUAGCACAGAAACAACAGCAGUGUCUUCUGCCCAUCCGUAUAUGACUGCCAUGAGGAAAACUGAAACUGGUUCCUGGGAAUAUACAUAACUUGAAGGAGCUGCUUUACAAAACCAUUAUGGCAGCUAUGACAAGCAUCCAGGAGUCAGAAGACUACACUAGCCAGCACCAGCAAAUCAGCAGGAAUCAUAUUCAACCAGCUGAAGAACUUCAGAUUAAUAGCCUCUAGUCCACUCAGCAGUGUCCUGGUUUACUGUAAAACAUCUUAAAAUGGACAAAUUGUUUCAAAGGCUCCACAGGUCAGCAGAAUAAGAAAAGCAAAAUCCUAUAAACCAUACAGAUAGCAGACUGGUGGUGGAACAACUUCACAGGAGAAUUAACAUGUUUGGACUCAGCUUCCUUUUUAAAAUCCAAAAUCUUGUUUAAAACAUUAAGGAUUGUUGUCCUGAACAAUGGCUUGAGAUGGACAACUAGCCCAAGCUCUUUUCUUGGAAAUUGCUAGAGAGUGAAAGGAAAUUCUCUGAAAUUUGACAUCAAGUUCUACCAUUUCUCAAAGUCUUUGCUUUGAUUAUCCAUUUCCUGCUGUCAAGUCACCCUGUUGUACACUCAUCUGAUGUCCACUAUACCACUUAAGAAAAGGAAACUGCCUGUGUUUGAAUAAACUGCUAUGCUAAAACUGGGUUGGCAACUACUCAACAAGAAGAACAGACCAGGCCAAUUUUCUUCAGUACUGGCUUCAUGUCCAAGGAUACAUCUGUUUCUGUUCUCCUUCCAAGCCUACACCAUUUCAAUCCCUAUUUUAACCCAUGCAGAAUUCAAAUAAAUCGAGCUCAGCAUCUCUCA